rnacentral:rRNA from 1 species
GACGAACGCUGGCGGCGCGCUUAACACAUGCAAGUCGAGCGAAGCGGCGGACGGGUGAGUAACACGUGAGUAACCUGCCUUAGACAUUGGGAUAGCCUCGGGAAACCGGGAUUAAUACCAAAUGGUCUCAGAUGGACUCGGGUCCCAUUAGAGCGGUGGGAGGUAACGGCCCACCAAGGCGACGAUGGGUAGCCGGCCUGAGAGGGGGAACGGCAACAUUGGAACGUAGACACGGUCCAAACUCUACGGGAGGCAGCAGUGGGGAAUAUGUGACAAUGGAGGUAAUUUUGAUGCAGCGACGCCGCGUGAACGAAGAAGGCUUUCGAGUCGUAAAGUUCUUUUAUAUGGGAAGCGGUACCAUAAGAAAAAGCCCCGGCUAACUCCGUGCCAGCAGCCGCGGUAAUAC